rnacentral:tRNA from 1 species
GAGCCUAUAGCUCAGUGGUAGAGCACAUGCUUAGCAUAUAUGAGGUUCUGGGUUCAAUCCCCAUUACCUCCA